GAUCAUGGCUCAGGACGAACGCUGGCGGCGUGCCUAACACAUGCAAGUCGAACGGGGUUGAGUGCUUCGGUAUUCAACUUAGUGGCGAACGGGUGAGUAACGCGUGAAGAACCUGCCUUUCAGUGGGGGACAACAGUUGGAAACGACUGCUAAUACCGCAUGACACUGAUGAGGGGCAUCCCUUAUCAGUCAAAGCUAUCGCUUUGCGAUGGGUCUGCGUCUGAUUAGCUAGUUGGUGGGGUAACGGCCUACCAAGGCAACGAUCAGUAGCCGGUCUGAGAGGAUGAACGGCCACAUUGGAACUGAGACACGGUCCAGACCCCUACGGGAGGCAGCAGUGGGGAAUCUUCCGCAAUGGGCGAAAGCCUGACGGAGCAACGCCGCGUGAGUGAAGAAGGUCUUCGGAUCGUAAAGCUCUGUUGAGAGGGACGAGAGAUAUAAUCAGGAAAUGGGUUAUAGAGGACGGUACCUUUCGAGGAAGCCACGGCUAACUACGUG
rnacentral:rRNA from 1 species